AACCGCCACCGUCUCAGCCUGAAGGCGACCGAUCUCGUCUGAUCUCGGAAGCUAAGCAGGGUCGGGCCUGGUUAGGAUCUUGGAUGGGAACCACUGGGAAUCCCGGGUGCUCGAGGCUU
rnacentral:rRNA from 1 species